GCGGGUGACCCCAAAGAAAGUGAUAGUCCUAAACUAGUGGGUGACCUCUCAAGAGAUAGUCAGUCCUAAACUGGCGGGUGACAUAUCAUAACCUAUACUGGCUACAUAGUUAUGGAACUUAAGGACUGCUUCUAAGGACCCAGUAUUGACUGGUAGGUGAGCCCCCAUCCUUAGGUUCACUCGAUGCUGAAUCCUACUUCCAACUAAACUGACAUUGAUUACUGGACUGAACUAAGCUUAACUAAAUAAGUAACUGAUCAUGAUGACUAACUGAAUGAUAAUACCUAUGGUUCAUCUAAAAGCAUUCUAAAAAUACAGAAACUAUGUAAACAGCUAAUUUUCGGGUAUUC
rnacentral:lncRNA from 1 species